GCCCCUCUAACUUCCACUUCUGAUGUCAUAGCCCAUCAAAAUAUUAAUUCAAGUCAAACUCCACAAAUUAUAAAUUUUACUUCCCCUCUAACUUCCACUUCUGAUGCCAUAGCCCAUCAAAAUAUUAAUUCAAGUCAAGCUCCACAAAUUAUAAAUUUUACUUCCCCUCUAACUUCCACUUCUGAUGCCAUAGCCCAUCAAAAUAUUAAUUCAAGUCAAGGU